CUGCGAGGUGUGUGAAACCACAUGCUGGCUCUGGCGCUGAGAGCCCCAGCUGGAGAUGAGCACAUCGACAGCACUGCCCGGUUCCCUGAGGACUCUGCGAAGUGCAGUGCUGGUUUAGUGCCCGCAUGGUCAGGGGUGCGUCAGGCUGAAGCCCAGCUUCUAGAGCUCCAUCCAGGACCACAGCUGCUUGAGCUGCUGGCUGCCAAGGUGCACAUCACCAGGAAGCCAGAAUUGAGCCUAGAUUGAAGUCCAGGCACUUCCAACAUGUGGUGUUGGCACCCAGGUGAAUGGUUUCCAAGCAUUGUAAGAGUUCAAGAAAAAUCUUGUGAGACUCCAAGGAUGGUGAAAUGAUUUUUAUUUAACAUGCAGUUGGGCGCCCAGCUCUUGGAAUGAACAGCAAGUAAAUUGAACAAAGAGGAGUCUGCUCAAUGAAAUGCCCAGUCCAAAGGCUGUGAUGGAUGUAGGGACUGCUGCAAGACCAGACUGUGAGCAUCACAGAGAGUGUGAACAGCUGCAAGGAGCCUGUGACCCGGCAAGGUGUGAUGACUGUGGAGCCACCCAGCCUGCAACCAGAGCAUGGUGGGACGACUGUGGAGCCACCCAGCCUGUGACUGGGCAAGGUGUGACGACUGUGGAGCCACACAGCCUGCGACCAGAGCACGGUGGGAUGACUGUGGAGCCACCCAGCCUGUGAUCAGAGCAUGGUGGGACGACUGUGGAGCCACC